rnacentral:rRNA from 1 species
GAUGAACGCUGGCGGCGUGCCUAAUACAUGCAAGUCGAGCGAACAGACGAGGAGCUUGCUCCUCUGACGUUAGCGGCGGACGGGUGAGUAACACGUGGAUAACCUACCUAUAAGGCUGGGAUAACUUCGGGAAACCGGAGCUAAUACCGGAUAAUAUAUUGAACCGCAUGGUUCAAUAGUGAAAGACGGUUUUGCUGUCACUUAUAGAUGGAUCCGCGCCGCAUUAGCUAGUUGGUAAGGUAACGGCUUACCAAGGCGACGAUGCGUAGCCGACCUGAGAGGGUGAUCGGCCACACUGGAACUGAGACACGGUCCAGACUCCUACGGGAGGCAGCAGUAGGGAAUCUUCCGCAAUGGGCGAAAGCCUGACGGAGCAACGCCGCGUGAGUGAUGAAGGUCUUCGGAUCGUAAAACUCUGUUAUUAGGGAAGAACAAAUGUGUAAGUAACUAUGCACGUCUUGACGGUACCUAAUCACAAAGCCACGGCUAACUACGUG